CCCGCCGCCGCCGCUGCCGGUGCCGGUGCCGGUGCCGGAUGUUCCCGCCCCAUCCGGCGCUCCCGGCUCUGGGCGCCGGCUCCAUGGAGGAGUCGGGGCGCGGGCUCCGCGGCCUCGGCCGGGGGAGCCCCCCCAGCGGCCCCGGCCCGGGCUGUCCCUGGCAUGGGCUGCGCCGCUCGGGCUCUCCCUGUGCCGGGCUGCGCUGCCCCGAGCGGCUCGGCCGGGCCAUGGCCCGCGGGCUCCGCCUGCUCCCCGCACCGGCCGAGGCGGAGGACGAGGAGAAAGUGCCGCUGGCGGAGAUCUCACUGAUGAACAAGUUGAUCCACACAUCCCUGGUGGAGUCCCAGCAGCACGUGGAGAUCCUGCAGCGGGACCCCAGCUCCCCACUCUUUUCCAUCAAGACCUUUGAGGAGCUGCCCCUGAAGGAGGAGCUCUUGAAUGGGGUUUAUAUGAUGGGCUUCAACAGACCAUCCAAAAUCCAGGAGCAGGCUCUGCCACUCAUGCUGGCGCACCCGCCCCAAAAUCUGAUUGCCCAGAGCCAGUCAGGGACAGGGAAAACAGCAGCUUUUGUCUUGGCCAUGUUGAGCAGAGCCAGUGCCAGCGAGAAAUACCCGCAGUGCCUCUGCCUGGCUCCCACCUACGAGCUGGCUCUGCAGAUCGGGCAGGUGGUGCGGACCAUUGGGAAGUACUGCACUGACAUCAAGGUGAACUACGCUGUCCGGGGAAACCGAGUUCUGAAGGGCACAGUGCUGGAGGAGCAAAUAAUCAUUGGAACCCCAGGCACCACACUGGACUGGUGCUUCAAACAGCACCUCCUGGACCUGACAAAGAUCUCCUUGUUUGUGCUGGACGAGGCUGACAUCAUGAUUGACACGCAGGGCCUGUCCUGUCAGAGCAUCCGCAUCCACAGGGCUCUUCCCAAGAACUGCCAAGUGUUGCUGUUCUCAGCCACUUACAAGGAACCCGUGCGGGCCUUUGCGGAGCGGAUCAUCCCCAACCCCAUCGUGAUCAAGCUGCGUGAGGAGGAGCUCACUCUGAGCAACAUCAGGCAGUACUUCAUGGUGUGCCAGAACUCAGAUGAGCAGUACAAGGCCCUCUGCAACCUCUAUGGCAGCUUCACCAUCGGUCAGGUCAUGAUCUUCUGCCAGACCCGGAGGCUGGCAGUCUGGCUGGCAGGGAAGAUGAGCCAGGACGGGCACCAAGUGGCCAUCCUGACAGCAGAGCUGACGGUGGUGCAGCGGGCCAGCGUCAUCCAGCGCUUCCGUGACGGCAAGGAGAAGGUCCUCAUCGCCACCAACGUCUGUGCCAGAGGCAUUGAUGUGCAGCAGGUCACCACGGUGGUGAACUUUGGCCUCCCCACGGAUGAGUGCAACGAGCCGGAUUUUGAGACGUACCUGCACCGCAUUGGGAGGGCAGGACGCUUCGGGCACCGCGGCAUUGCCUUCAGCAUGGUGGAGAGAGACAGCGUGGAGCUCGUGCACAGGAUAGAGGAGUAUUUCCCAGGCAGAUUUCCCGAGAAGCAGCCCUGGAGGUUGUUUGCAACUUGCAAGGGACGUUACCAGUACCCAGGAUUCCUCAGCACCUUUUUUUUUCCAUCCUUCAGGCAUUUUUUCUGCCUUUGUUUGCAAGGUCUUGUCCCAAGGGACCUGGUGCCCCAGCUCAGCUCAGCCCUGGCUGUGGGAGAGGAGAUGGCAGCUGUGGAAAUAUUUCCUGAGUGGAAAUUGAUUGGCACUUGUUAACAUCAAGAGGAUUUUCAUGGGAUUUACCAAAUGCCAGGGCUGCACUGAUGACUUUUUGAAUCCCAGUGCCUGUUUUCCCUGUGAUUUUUAGAGGAAACCUUCUGAUGGGCAGAAAAUGGUGUCCCUUUCUCAUCUCCAGCCUCAGAGCCACUCAGCCCUCUUGGUUCCUUUAAAUGUCCACCUGUCCUUGGAACCUGAGGCAGACACCAGGCAGACAUGAGCCACACAUUCUGGCAAAGAUUGUUGCUGUGGAGUAGAAGCAGUGAGCAGCUGGAAGCAGCAAUGAGCAGCUGGAACAACUGGCAUAGACCACGAUCAAGCAGCUGAAUCCAUAUGACAUGGACGAGCUGGAGAGGCUUGCAGCUGAGUGAGGAGCAAGGAUUCGUUCUCCCAAAUCCAAGUUCUAGUUCUAAACAGGAGGAAAAGUUACAGGGGGAAACUUCCUGGUUCUCUUGUAUCCUCCUGAAGCUGUUGAGUUUUGUUGUGUUGCCUGAGGAGAGGCUGGAGCCAACCUUGUCUCGCUAGAUGGCAGCAGGAAUCCACUGCUGCCGUCCCAGGUCCUGGAGCAAAACCCAAGUGUCCAGGGUCCCGGCAGUGCAGGAGAGAGGUUGGACCCCCGGGGGUCUGAGAUCCAAGUGUUUGGGGUCCCAUCGGUUGGGGAGAGAGGUUGGACCCCAGGGGCAUGAAAUCCAAGUGUUGGGGGUCCCGGCAGUGUGAGGACAGAAGUUGGAUUCCAGGGACUGGGCUGUUUGUACCUUUGUUAAUCUUUAAUAAAUGGAAUUGUUU